GAGUUUGAUCAUGGCUCAGAUUGAACGCUGGCGGCAGGCCUAACACAUGCAAGUCGAACGGUAACAGGAAUAGCUUGCUAUUUGCUGACGAGUGGCGGACGGGUGAGUAAUGCUUGGGAACUUGCCUUUGGGAGGGGGAUAACAGUUGGAAACGACUGCUAAUACCGCAUAACGUCUACGGACCAAAGGGGGCUUAGGCUCCUACCUGAAGAGAGGCCCAAGUGAGAUUAGCUAGUUGGUGAGGUAAAGGCUCACCAAGGCGACGAUCUCUAGCUGUUCUGAGAGGAAGAUCAGCCACACUGGGACUGAGACACGGCCCAGACUCCUACGGGAGGCAGCAGUGGGGAAUAUUGCACAAUGGGGGAAACCCUGAUGCAGCCAUGCCGCGUGUGUGAAGAAGGCCUUCGGGUUGUAAAGCACUUUCAGUUGUGAGGAAAGGUUGGUAGUUAAUACCUGCCAGCUGUGAUGUUAACAACAGAAGAAGCACCGGCUAACUCCGUGCCAGCAGCCGCGGUAAUACGGAGGGUGCGAGCGUUAAUCGGAAUUACUGGGCGUAAAGCGGACGCAGGCGGUUUGUUAAGCUAGAUGUGAAAGCCCCGGGCUCAACCUGGGAUGGUCAUUUAGAACUGGCAGACUAGAGUCUUGGAGAGGGGAGUGGAAUUCCAGGUGUAGCGGUGAAAUGCGUAGAUAUCUGGAGGAACAUCAGUGGCGAAGGCGACUCCCUGGCCAAAGACUGACGCUCAUGUCCGAAAGUGUGGGUAGCGAACAGGAUUAGAUACCCUGGUAGUCCACACCGU
rnacentral:rRNA from 1 species